rnacentral:lncRNA from 1 species
CAAAAAUUUUAGAUAACCAACCGUUUCACGAUAUUAAGAAGUGUACAAAACGCAUGUAGACUGACUUUUAGAAUGAAUUUAUUUAAUUUCCUGGCGGGCAACACCAAUACAUCAUGCCCAUAUUGAUCUCCAGUGUUGUUCACAAUACAGUGAGAUGUUGCAAGUUUAAUUGUGACGUCAUGCACGUGCAAUCCGUGUUUUAUUCGAAUAAGGACAGGGCUUUGUUUUUUAAGACAAAACAAGAACCUUCCCGUAGUACACGGAUGUCAAAGUCGCACUGUCCUUUUCUAAUUGGGAUAAAAAUUCUUAUUUGGCAUUAAAACUAGAAAGAUCAUAACAUAGGGAACAUGGGUACUAAGUU